CCUACGGGAGGCAGCAGUGGGGAAUAUUGCACAAUGGGCGCAAGCCUGAUGCAGCCAUGCCGCGUGUGUGAAGAAGGCCUUCGGGUUGUAAAGCACUUUCAGUCGUGAGGAAGGUGGUGUAGUUAAUAGCUGCAUUACUUGACGUUAGCGACAGAAGAAGCACCGGCUAACUCCGUGCCAGCAGCCGCGGUAAUACGGAGGGUGCGAGCGUUAAUCGGAAUUACUGGGCGUAAAGCGCAUGCAGGUGGUUUGUUAAGUCAGAUGUGAAAGCCCGGGGCUCAACCUCGGAAUAGCAUUUGAAACUGGCAGACUAGAGUACUGUAGAGGGGGGUAGAAUUUCAGGUGUAGCGGUGAAAUGCGUAGAGAUCUGAAGGAAUACCGGUGGCGAAGGCGGCCCCCUGGACAGAUACUGACACUCAGAUGCGAAAGCGUGGGGAGCAGACAGGAUUAGAUACCCUGGUAGUCCACGCCGUAAACGAUGUCUACUUGGAGGUUGUGGCCUUGAGCCGUGGCUUUCGGAGCUAACGCGUUAAGUAGACCGCCUGGGGAGUACGGUCGCAAGAUUAAAACUCAAAUGAAUUGACGGA
rnacentral:rRNA from 1 species